UCACACAAGAGACCCAAAUUAACCGUAUACGGCGUAAAGAGUGGUGCCAUGAUACCAUAACAACUAGGAUUGAAGUGUAACUAGGCUGUCAUAAGCUCAAGAUAUACUUAAGAUCACCCUCAAGACGAUCCUAGCGUCUCUGAUUAAUUCAACCCCACGAAAGCUAGGGCACAAACUGGGAUUAGAUACCCCAUUAUGCCUAGCCCUAAAUCUUGAUGCUUACCACACCAAAGCAUCCGCCCGAGAACUACGAGCACAAACGCUUAAAACUCUAAGGACUUGGCGGUGCCCCAAACCCACCUAGAGGAGCCUGUUCUAUAAUCGAUAAUCCACGAUUCACCCAACCACCCCUCGCCAGAGCAGCCUACAUACCGCCGUCGCCAGCCCACCUUCCCUGAAAGUCCCACAGUGAGCAUAACAGCCCAAAUCCGCUAAUAAGACAGGUCAAGGUAUAGCCCAUGGGGUGGAAGAAAUGGGCUACAUUUUCUAUAAUAGAAAA
rnacentral:rRNA from 1 species